GUAGGUGGCAAGCGUUGUCCGGAAUUAUUGGGCGUAAAGCGCGCGCAGGCGGUUCUUUAAGUCUGAUGUGAAAGCCCACGGCUCAACCGUGGAGGGUCAUUGGAAACUGGAGAACUUGAGUACAGUAGAGGAAAGCGGAAUUCCACGUGUAGCGGUGAAAUGCGUAGAGAUGUGGAGGAACACCAGUGGCGAAGGCGGCUUUCUGGUCUGUAACUGACGCUGAGGCGCGAAAGCGUGGGGAGCAAACAGGAUUAGAUACCCUGGUAGUCCACGCCGUAAACGAUGAGUGCUAAGUGUUAGGGGGGUUUUCCGCCCCCCUUAGUGCUGCAGCUAACGCAUUAAGCACUCCGCCUGGGAGUACGGCCGCAAGGCUG
rnacentral:rRNA from 1 species